UACACUGCCGGAUUCGAGAUAAGCGAGGCGCUUCCAAGCUCCACUUGCUGUGAAGGAAACCGCAGGAUCACCUUUUUCUCUUUUUGUUGCAAGCAGGCAGCGUGAAUGCUUUGCAUUGCUAGCACACGACGAACAUAUAUAAGGACACGCUAGUAAACUCCUCAAACUCGUUCAUUGAGCAAAAACUGCAGGAGCUCAUAACCGCGGCAAGAGUCCAGUGAUGGUACAAGCAGCCUUAGUCAUUCCGCUGGAUGUUCACGCUCACAACGGGGAUGUGAAGCACAAGCUCCAUGAUGCUGUGGCGUGACCACGGGGCUCAAGGCGCUCGUCCAAGUUGUAGAGCUGCAGACAACGAUGGUUCUCUGUCGCUCGCCGAGAACGCAUUGGCUGCCACGCUUGUGUAGCCAGCAGCUCCCCAGCUGGGCUUUUAUGGUCAGCUUGGUGAUCUUACCGUUCCCGAACGCGCUGUGAACUGGCGCUCGAGGAUUACAUGGACGUCUCGCCUCUCAGACUGUGAACCUGCAUUACCACCGACCAAGUCGAGCUUCCGAGCAGGCCAACGUUUGAGCAGCAAAGUCCAGGACCCUGGGUCACGACCAGAAGGCACACCUGCAGAAUCUUGCAAAAUGCAUGAGCUCCAUACGCUCCAUACUUCCAAAUUUUGCCUCCCAUGCGGGCUCCAGGAUCAAGUCACUGUGUUCUUCCUGAGAAGAGAUCAAACUUCCAUGUCUUUUAGCUUGUAUUAUCGCACAGGCUACAGUUUUUACCAUCAGUCAAUCGUUCUUUGAGGAGGCCAAUA